GUCCUCAGUGUUUUAUCUCAAUUCUCAACUCAAUUAAGCCCAAAGUAGUUAGGGUUAGCUAUGUGUGAAUCUCUUCCUCUAUUCCACAUGUUUGAGGGUUAUAUCUUUCAAAUAUAUAUUCUAACAUCUUUACAGUACUUCCCUCCAAAUGAUCCUAGCUUUGCUACUUUCUUUGCCUUAAAUAUGCUCAACUUUCUAUAUUGGUGCAUUUGUUGGUCUACUAUGUACCAUUCUUUCUCCUUCUAUCCCUUUUCUAUGAUAUUUGAUUUGAUAAUUCAACUCUGAACUAU
rnacentral:misc_RNA from 1 species